CCUCUGCAUACCACAUCAUGGCGUCACAGACGAAGUCACCGAUGGGGGCCUGGCCCAGACGGAUAACGUUCUUGUCGGAAACCAGGGUGUGCGACAGAGUGCCCAGUGCGCAGGAGGCGGUGGAGGUGGGCGCCGCGGAGCAGAUGCCGCUGCUGCCGCCCAGGUCGCAGCGGUUGAUGCGGCCCUCGGCAGCAGCGUAGCCGGUGACCUGCAGGGACAGGAAGGAAGAGACAGGCAUGAGGUGCAGUUCGCACGAGCAGGGACUAAUAACAGGGAGCGCAAUGGGAAAGCGAGGGUCGUGUUGUACCACGUCUUAUCGCAGGAAAAGAACCGAUCGGCGGAUGACAGGGAGAUGAAGGCAAAAAUAGCAGGGCCGCUGGUGAAGCUAUACCACCCUGUAACAAUAUCAUAUAUACAUAAUGAUGUGUGAAACAGGGGGGUGUAUCUUCGCCCGUGACAGCUACCCUGCGAACCCUGCCUUCCCCGGUAUUUCGGGGCACCCUCAUCCAGUUACCCUAGUCAACUUCUCAGUGGAUCGCUCAGGUUCCGCACCAAACACCAGCAUCCAACGGAAUCUGCCGGGUCGACAGCGGGCCCAACUCCAUUCCUGGUUGGCUCGCAGGUUAACUUUAUCCCAGGUCACAACCAUCCAUCAGGGGCGCAAUACCUUCCACUAUCGGACAAAUUUUUGACCCUUACGGGUAUCGAUCCCGGGAUCUCCCGGGGGCAAUGGUUGCGCGUUACCAAUAGUGCCAAACCCUAGCAUAUACAUGAUGUAUACACACCUGCCUCUCCCUGAUCUAUAUAAUAAGCCUCACCACCCGGCCCGCCAUUAGACGCCACCGUUGAUCCGGCAAAGUCCACGGGAUAAUGCUGGUGGUGGGUGCUGAACCCCCAAACAUUCACUGACUUCGCAGAAGUCGCCACACAUGCGUGAUGAUGAGGAGGAUGAGGGUGGUGCCCCGAAACAUCGGGGAAGGUGCUUGGGGGACUGCCGGGCUAAUGGCCACGGGUGAAGUUGUUAUACCCCCCACUACUUCACACAAUCAGUGAUCGUGGUUUUUAGAAACUUACAGGCGAAUUGGACAGGAACUCUACCACGGCAUCCACGACGGCAGGUCCUUCGGCCAAGACCGUCUCGGCGGCCGCAAGGACCGCGUAGCCAUCACCACCUAGUCAGAUGGGCAUGGGGGGACCCGGCGGGGAAGGGCGGAAUGUGAGCUGCAUGAGGGAGGAUGCAUAUAACUGGUUCGAAAUGCGAAGAUGCGGUGCAACAUCACUGGCAGCGCAACGGCCCAGGGGAAAGCAACGAAAGAGAACCUCAUCGCGGGAACCUAUUCAUCCUUUUCAUUGCCAGCAGGGUUUAACACCCAACUGUUAUGUACCGUGCACUGUGGUCAUAUAUGUAUGUGUGUAGAAUCCUGGGCAUAUCAUGGGAUCUGCAUCCGCCGAUCGGUAUUUUCUGAAGCCGUGAUAUAACAAUAUGCACGUUUUUGCCAAGCUUCUCAAUGCGUUUCAUUUCCUAAUGAGAACAACCAUGCCUGUAUGUCUGUAAUGAGGCAUUUCCGUAUAAGCUUCCGCAUCUGUACACUUACCCGCUGCCAUAUAAUCGUUGGUCACCAAUGCAUACUUGGCGCAAGGAUCGAUGGGCGAGUACGAACCGUCAGCGUUCUUGACCUCGAUCGCCGACACGCGCUGGUUGACCGGCUUGGUUGCGUCGUACGCAAAACGGAAGCCGCCCACCUGUCGAAUAAGGUGCCACGGCGCACGCGGUGGCCAACAAGUUUUGCUUAAGACCAGUGAGCUUCAAUACGUACUGCUACGUAAUUUUUAUUCCACGAAGAUUCCUGUCCUUGCUGGAGGACAUCGUUACAGACUUCAGCUUUGGCCUUUAGUGCCGAGUUGGAAGCUACAUCCCCCAUCACACACCAGUCAAAGGCCCAGGGGUGUGGCUGCUACUGCUGACGCUGGUGAUAAUGCUGCCGCUGGCGGUACUGCUGACGCCGUUGGUAUUUUGCUGCUGCUACUGCUGUUCUUACUGGUGCUACAGCUACAGUUACAGUUACAGUUACUCCUACUGCUAGUGAUACUGCUAUUGUCACCGUUACUGUUAGUGUUGCUGCUGUUGCUGCCAACUGGCAACCCCACCUGUGCAAAUUGCCCGAGUGCCUCGCCCCCGGCAAUGUUGCCCGCCACGCUGUUCUCGAGAGCUGACUUGAGGCCCGUGACGGAAAUGCUCUUGACCACAAGGGUAUUGCCGAACGGCAGAGCGGCCGCGAUUUGACCUGCGGCAUAGGCAUUUUGCAGGGCGUUACGGUUUGACACUGUGCUUACAAAGUGCAUAGCGAUAUUGAUACUGCAUAUGUGUUAAGUGUGCUUGUUAUGUUUGUAUGUGUCAAUACGUGUACAUAUAAUAAUGCUUCCACAAAUAAUGACAAUAAUAGUAAUUGUAAUAAAUAAUAAUUAAUAUGACAGUUAUAAAUCUAAAAUACAUGUAAAAUACAACUUGAGGUGCGUUCAAAAAUGUAACAAGUGUGAGCCCGUGCGAGCCCAGCCAAGGGCCCAAGGGUCAGACAGAAGGCAGAUCGAGGUAACAAGAUUACAAACCGCACAUAAGGUAAUUAUUGGUCUGCUAAAGAAGGAAAGGGUGGGUUUAAAGCCAUAGCAGUGUGCAGUACGAGUGCAGUUAGAAGAUCGAGCGAAGAAGAUGGGCAGAGAAAAGAGAUGGAAUAACCAAGAUGUUAGGAACAUGAAACACCAUUCCACAAAUUUGAAGAAUGAACAGACGCCCCCUACGGAACGGGACACGUAGCCUUUUCCUUAGAGACGCUGUCUUUAAUGAAGACUGUGCCUCUUGUUUUGUUCAACAAUUUGUAGGACUAUGAAUUAUCGACCUACAAACGGUAGGGACAUGGUAGCUGGGAUGCAGUGCACAUACAUACAGCCCGCGCAAUGAGUACGGUGUUGUACAUUCAGCAUACCUCCGGUCACCAGUCCAGCAGGGAUGUCCGCGCGAAUCGAACCAGAGUUCACCAUGCACAAAUUCGGCCUCGCGCCUGUAGUCAUCUGUUCAUACACGCCACCGUGAGGAGGGAAGAUGGGGGCAAGGAGUAUGCGGGUGGGCUUCCGUUGGCCAAAACACACGAUUAUUUACGACAACACGUGUUCCCGUACACGUACUGCUGCACGCUGUACAAAACUAGAUUGCAGAACCACAGACACACACAGAGGAUAGCAUCACCCGAGUUGGUCCUGCAGGCCGUCUGGAUGCCCGAUGCGGGUUUUAGUACAUGCGGAUUUCGGAGCUGAUUUCACUUUUCCACAGGGCCCCCGGGGGUCCCGUCCUCCAUUACCACACGUGAACCUUCGCGCACCUCCGCAUACCACAUCAUGGCGUCACAGACGAAGUCACCGAUGGGGGCCUCGCCCAGGCGAACAGUGGCCUUGUCGGAAACCAGGGUGUGCGACAGAGUGCCCAGUGCGCAGGAGGCGGUGGAGGUGGGCGCCGCGGAGCAGAUGCCGCUGCUGCCGCCCAGGUCGCAGCGGUUGAUGCGGCCCUCGGCAGCAGCGUAGCCAGUGACCUGCAGGGACAGGAAGGAAGAGGCGUGAGGGCCAUCGGGCAUGAGGAAGACAUGUGUGAGAAGAGCUAAACAUUAGAGGGGAAGAAAAGAUGGGAGAAGGGAGGAACGUGUGCUACGAACGAAAGCAUGUGUGAUGGAGGUGGUCGGAGGCGGCUUAAGGAUAUGCCAGGAAUAGAGAUGAUAAUCGCGAGAUCAUACGAUCAAAUCUUGCUU
rnacentral:lncRNA from 1 species